CCUACGGGUGGCAGCAGUAGGGAAUCUUUCACAAUGGGCGAAAGCCUGAUGGAGCAACGCCGCGUGCAGGAUGAAGGCCUUCGGGUUGUAAACUGCUUUUAUAAGCGAGAAAUAUGAUGGUAACUUAUGAAUAAGGAUCGGCUAACUCCGUGCCAGCAGCCGCGGUCAUACGUAGGAUCCGAGCAUUAUCCGGAGUGACUGGGUGUAAAGAGUUGCGUAGGUGGCAUAAUAAGUAGCUAGUGAAAUCUGGUGGCUCAACCAUUCAGACUAUUAGCGAAACUGUUAAGCUCGAGACCGUUAGGGGUAACUGGAAUUUCUAGUGUAGGAGUGAAAUCCGUAGAUAUUAGAAGGAACACCAAUAGCGUAGGCAGGUUGCUGGGACGGUUCUGACACUAAGGCACGAAAGCGUAGGGAGCAAACGGGAUUAGAUACCCGUGUAGUC
rnacentral:rRNA from 1 species